UGAGGAAUAUUGGUCAAUGGGCGGAAGCCUGAACCAGCCAUGCCGCGUGAAGGACUAAGGCCCUACGGGUCGUAAACUUCUUUAGACGCAGAGCAAUAAGGUCCACGCGUGGACCGAUGAGAGUAUGCGUAGAAUAAGCAUCGGCUAACUCCGUGCCAGCAGCCGCGGUAAUACGGGGGAUGCGAGCGUUAUCCGGAUUCAUUGGGUUUAAAGGGUGCGUAGGCGGCCGAGUAAGUCAGCGGUGAAAGACCGGGGCUCAACCCUGGAAGUGCCGUUGAUACUGUUUGGCUGGAAUGAUCCCGCCGCGGGAGGAAUGAGUGGUGUAGCGGUGAAAUGCAUAGAUAUCACUCGAA
rnacentral:rRNA from 1 species